rnacentral:rRNA from 1 species
UACGUAGGGGGCGAGCGUUGUCCGGAAUUACUGGGCGUAAAGCGCGCGCAGGCGGGUCAUCAAGUCAGGGGUGAAAGCCCAGAGCUCAACUCUGGAACUGCCCUUGAAACUGGUGACCUUGAGUACGGGAGAGGUGAGUGGAAUUCCCAGUGUAGAGGUGAAAUUCGUAGAUAUUCGGAAGAACACCAGUGGCGAAGGCGACUCGCUGGACAAGUAUUGACGCUGAGGUGCGAAAGCGUGGGGAGCAAACAGG